rnacentral:lncRNA from 1 species
CCGGGCUAGAAUUAUUUUCAGUAUGAUUUGGGUUAAUGAGUUGACUCGGGAAUGAACUCGGAGGUUUCAUAUGAAAUAAACAAAAUAGAUGAAACGAAAACAGCAAAUCAAGCAGAAUCAUCAGGUGACGGGGCAGGCAGAUUUGCGGCGGAUUACUGGGUGAGAAGAUCCAGAAUUUGCCGUCUCAUGGCAAUGGCGUAGAGGGAUCAAAGAAAGCAGAAAAUUUCAAACCAUUUUGACCCACCAUCAUCAAGCUUAAAACGAAGGCAGUGGUCAACUUCUAAAACAUGAAAUGAGGUUCUGGAAAAAGUUUCCAGCUAGGGUAACCCAAUUGAGAGGCGGGGGCAAUGGAUACUUGAUCGAGUGAUUUGGGGAAAAGGAAUCAUUCUCCAGGGAAUUGGAGCCGUGUGCAUAGAGAUGCUCAAGGCUCAGUGGAAGCUCUUCCCCUUCUAUACUCUUGUCUGCUUGGCCAACUUCCCAAAUCAAGCGAAUUCCACAUGAUUGUAGCUUUGCGGAUGGAGACUUCAACUCCUCUGAGAAUUGCAAAUCGGAUUUGAUGCCUAACUUGUUGAUUUGGUUGCUGAAGUUUUUUAACCCGCGGAUGAUAAGCAGGUGAUCUGAUUUAACAACUUCUUCCUCAUCUUCAGUGCUAGGGUCAGUACUAUGGAAAUCUGGUUUAAGGUAUAAACAAAAGUACCUUUCAUAUCCCCAAUCCCAGUCAUAAGAAAAUGGCGAGAAUUGUAUAUCAAAGGGCCUCUCGCAAGCAAUCACGACACAUGCAUCAAAACCCAGCAAUUUCGGGGACGGCCAAAUUUGGGGAAAGAAAGCGAAUCCCAGUGACUCCUAUUCGAGGACAACAACGAAAAGAAAAAAAGAUGGAGAAUGAUCAAGUUCAGGUUGUUUGCAGUGGAGUAAUGGAAGAAUAAGCUGGAAACAUACCUCUUCGUUUUCUCCCUCGUUGAGAAACUGAGCGAUCAGAUGUUCAUCCCGUUUUAAACCGAAACAAUGACUAAGAUCAAGGUGUUUUACAGAAUGGUUCAAAGGAAGGGAAACAGUUUCCAAGAUUUCACAGCCAUGGGCGUAGAGAGACUUGAGGCACAACGGAAGCCCUUCAAUCGAUUUGAGUUUCUUGCACUUAUUAAGGCAGAGAGUUCUCAAAGAGGAAAGCACUUCGAUGCUGGAUGGCAAUUUCUCAAAUUCAUGGCUGCUAAGAUCUAAAUAUGAUAGCUUGAUAAAAUGUCUAAGCUGAUCUAAAAUUGAUCGAAUGCUCUUGCAGCCAUCAACCCAAAGCUCAAGCCAUUGGAAUCUGCCACAGUCUUGUUCAGCAUAAGAAAGUUCCAACAAUGAUUGGAGGUUUAUACAGCCAGAGAGUUUGAUUGUCUCCAACUGAACCAGCGCUGGCAAUGCUUUGAGUCUGCAACAGUUACGAAAGCUGGCAUAUUUCAACCUGGGAAGUUGAUUCAUGGUUUCUGGUAAAGUCUCAAAAUCAUUGCCACUCCAGUCCAGUUUCUCUAGGAAUUUCAAGCCGCACACGUCAUCUGGGAUCACUUUAAUGUUUAGGUUGAUUAGAAUUAACUCUUUCACGCAGGGGAACAUCGAAAGGCUAAAACAGAGGAAACUUGCACCAUCACUGCUGUACCUGAACCUGCUGAUGUCUACUGAAGUAAAUCCAUGGAACUUGGAUGUGGGUUGAGAUUUUCCCUGUGCUUUCUUCACCGAUUCCUGACCAUGAAACUCUGGCAAGAACUGAAGUGCCUGCCGUGUCCUUGUAGAAAAUUCAAGAGCUUGUUGGUUAUCAGGCGCUAGCUGAUCCCUCUGCAUCAUCCAUUCAUGAUCAAGAAACUCUGAAGUGGCCUUAACUUUCCGUCCUUUCCUCAUAAGCGAUCCAAAACCACAUAAUAUUGUUUUUUUACGAGGUUCUUGUUGCUGCUCCCUCUUUGUCAAUUCACCAGGUGCUUGUUGCUUCUCUUUCUUUGUCAAUUUAUCAGGUCCUUGUUGCUCAGUAGUAAAACUGAGAUGAUCUACGUUGCCAUCAAGCCAAAACAUCUGAAUAUGUAUGUUUCCUCCAAUAGAUAGAUUUGCAAUGGACCUCGUUUCCACUUCUUUACCCGAGAAAUACAAAGCAAUUUGACGGCCGCUCCUAUUCAAUUCCCUUAUAGUGAUAUAACUAGCAAGCUCCUCACAGUAUGAGACAUCAAGCGUCGUCAAUCUAGUAAGGUAGCUGAUGGACUCUGGAAUUUUCUUCAGCCUCUUGCAGCCUUGAGUUAUCAAUUCCUCCAAAUUAACGGCCAUUGAAAGAUCUGGAAGUUGUUCCAGAUUUUCAGAAUCUGACAAGUCCAAUCUUCUCAAGUUUGGCAUCCCCUGAGCAUAUUCAACAAAGAAUAGGAAAAUUGCGAGAAUGUUAAGUACCAGAAGAUACAUUGUUAUAAGCAUAGAUCUGUUAAGAGCUUUUACCACGGUUUCUUUCCAGAAGCUUGUGAGAUUGCUGCGAUGUAGAAUGAUUUCAACAAGAUCUUGCGGCUGGAAUCGGCAAGGGAAGGUUGUCAAGGGAAAUGCGUCCCAAUGUAGUAACCUAAGCCUUGAUGAAAGUAGAUUUGUAUCGUCACCACUGAAAAGCAGCUUGGACUUAAUAUGGUUCGAGUGCUUGUAGAUCUUGAGGAAUUUGAGAGUAUCGUGGUACGCUGUAUACCCUCCCAGAUGCAAUGCAUAAACCAUGUCACACAUAUGUAGUGCCAUGCAAUUGGUUGGUUCGCUUGUCUGUGGGAUUAAAUACGAUAAAAUUAGUUGGCCUACGAACAAGCUUAGUGCAGAAACAACCAUGAACAACAACGAUGUUACAGAUAGACACUGUAAGUGCUUACCGUGUUACG